UUUUUCUUCGAUAGAAUCAUCCAAAUGUAAUCAUCGUAAUCAUUUGAAUCUGAUCUUGUUCCGUUAGUGAGAAAAAAACACACAGAAAACUUGUUUCUCUUUUUUUUCUCUGCUUUUCUAUGAAUAAAGAAAAAAAAUUGGAUCCAAUACAAGACAAGACAAAAAACGAAAAUGAAAAAUAAGUUGAUCAUUCGCCCACCAUGUGUAUUCAAAGACAAAAAAAGGCGUGUAGCGGCGGCAAAAUCAUCAUCAUGGUGCCCGUUUAACUUUCGUCUUAUCUCCUUCGACGUUAGUCAUUAUUGUAGUUUUAAGUUGCAAAGUUUCAUUUCAUUUUGUAUGCACAAAUCAUUCGCAUAUUGUAUCAAAAAAAAGUCAUGUCAUUAUAAUCGAAUCGUAUUUGGUGCCCACCAUCAUCACCACCAACAUCACAUUGAACCAUCAAAAUUGUUGUUAUUGUUUGUCGUCAAGUUGCUAUAAUUACCCGGUGUUUGUCUUUGUUUUGCAACCGAUUGUAUACCAAUGUGUUGUGGUCGGUCGGUAUAAUUAGAAGAAAAAAAAACCGUUAUUGUCAAUAAUAAUCUUUCUAUUUCUAUUCCAAUUGAAAUUUGGCUCACUCACUCAUUCUAGUCACAAUUUCCGUGAACUAAAAUAAAAUAAUGUACAUCAUUUUGAUUGAUUUUAGUAUUUUUUUUCGACAAAAAUAAAAACAAAAUCAUCCUUUAAAAGAAUUCGAAAUAUUAAAACCAUCAUCAUCAUCAUCAUCAUCAACCUGUCAUAUUUAUAAUUCCAACGAAACAAAAGAUCCAAUGAUUGACAUCUAAUCCACAUCUAUCCGAUCCGGUCAUUGUUCAACGAAUAAAAAAAACAACAACAAUAUUUCUGAGAUCAAGCCGUUAAAUACGAUAAAUUUAACGACAACAGUAACAACAACAAAGUGAUCAUAUGGCCA